CCUACGGGGGGCAGCAGUAGGGAAUAUUGCGCAAUGGAGGAAACUCUGACGCAGCGACGCCGCGUGGGUGAUGAAGGCCUUCGGGUCGUAAAGCCCUGUCGGAAGGGACGAAAUACGAUGUGGCUAAUAUCCACGUCGCUUGACGGUACCUUUAAAGGAAGCACCGGCUAACUACGUGCCAGCAGCCGCGGUAAUACGUAGGGUGCAAGCGUUGUUCGGAAUCAUUGGGCGUAAAGCGCGUGUAGGUGGUCGGGUAAGUCGAUUGUGAAAUCCCUGGGCUCAACCCAGGAAGUGCAUUCGAUACUACCCGGCUCGAGGAUGGCAGAGGAAGGUGGAAUUCCUAGUGUAGAGGUGAAAUUCGUAGAUAUUAGGAGGAAUACCGGUGGCGAAGGCGGCCUUCUGGGCCAUUCCUGACACUGAGACGCGAAAGCGUGGGUAGCAAACAGGAUUAGAUACCCCAGUAGUC
rnacentral:rRNA from 1 species